rnacentral:lncRNA from 1 species
ACAGUGGGGCAUUUAUGUAAGUCACAGGAGUAGCGCUUAUUCAAGAGCUGCCACUGUGAUUUUAGUUUGCUUUUCUAGCCUCAGAACAGGCAUCAUCCUUGUAAUGACUAGGUAAACAGAAAACGCCAGAUAAUGCCGUUGUCAUGAAGCAUUCUCAAACUCAAAAGAUCACUUAGCAAAACAUGUCACAUGUUUCCCUUACUCGUUAAUGGCGCACACGUCUCACAUCAAUCCAUCGAGACAUCAGUAUCCAAAAACUUUGCAUCAAAGAUUACUGUCAUUCUCUGUCCUGCAAAUUCUAGUUUUAACAAAUAGGAUGUUGGACUGUCUGCCAACAAUGAAUGGAGCUACUGUAAACACCCACAUGCAGACUUUUGAGCGAAUAUAGCUUCCAACUCCUUUGGAAGCAUGUGAGGAUCCUUCUUACUGAAAGAACCAGCCUGAACUUUGGAAGAUCCAAGAGAAAAAAGAAGAGACUUGACUUCCCCAAAAGGAGAAUGCUUGAGACUUUUUAAAAGGUCAAUACACCACCAUCUUAUCAGUCUCAUGUAUGAAGAAACUGAGGCCACUGAGCUAAUAUUUGUAACUUCAGAACAACUCGACCUCUGCUGUGUCCAAAUCUUAGUAAAUGUCUCUCUUGUGUCUAAGAUUUAUUGAACUUGUCAAUCUACCCAUUCUCUGUAAGAAGCAUAUAACCUCACUUAACUGUCAAAAAAAAAAAAAAAAGAAGAAAAAAAAAGAAAAAAGAAAAAGAAAAAAAAUGGUGAGAAACCGCUGGUGCGUACUGAUAGCAUGAGUCCUCAAGGAACCAUAAUUGGGAGAAGAGACACACAGUUCAUGAACAUGCCAGGGGACCUCAAACUGCUGUCGUCCUUCGGCCAACUUGGGCACGAACUCGGUGAAUGGUCCCACGGUCCCCAGGGCAGAUGGCCAGUGUCCUCAUCUGUAUGUACUGCACCAACAGCACUGUGUGAAGAGAAGGGGUCCUACCAAAUAACUUACUGACCAAUGAGGAAUGUAAGCUCCACCAUCAGCCGCUGCCGCCACCACCAAUGACAAUGACAAUGGUGACAGUGAUGAUGAUUGAUGGUGGUGGUGAUGAUGAUGAUGUCAGCUUUGACCUUCAUGCCAUAGUAACCAGAGAGGAACACCACCCAGAGACCAAGACCAUCUACAGAUCAGUAACAAGUGACAAAUUAAAAAGUGAAUAAGAUAAGGAAUGGACUUUUAUUAUAGGGAGAAGAGCGAUUUCAAGGUGCUAGCAUGGAGUGGGGAUGACACCCACCGGAUUCCAGACACACUAGCUCCCUGAACACAUGUGAUUCAGGCCAUCUCCCAGAGACCCAGUGUCCUUGGCAGGACAUUGACAGGAACAAGGAGGAAGAAUGAGAAGAGGAGGAACAGGAGAAGGAACAAGAGCAGGAGGAAGAGAUGCAGGCAGCAACAUCACCUGCUAGGGCAUGUCGACAAGAACCCAACUUCCAUCCAAAGAAAUUGCACUUUUUAUAAGUUCCAUCCCCUCCCAGUGGCGCCACCUACUGGCAAGCAAAGCAUACAGACCUUUUGGAGAUGUUCCAGAAACAAACUGAAACUAUUCCCACAUGAACCCCUCUAUCCCCUGACUUUCUUCCCUCGGUUUCUGUUUCCUCCUCUGCCCGAGGCUGUCAACAAUGGUCUGCAAUUCUGCCUAACCCACUUUUCCUGUGAUCUUGCCAGGUAAGAAACUCAAGAACCCUCUUCAAUAAUAACAUCACUGGAGCCAGCAAGGCCCUUCUGCCCAGGAGGCCUAGACAUCCUGGCAGAGGGUGUGUUGACUGCAUUCACGCUGUCUGGCUUCAGCUGACAGUGCCCAGAUGUUCAGUUUCCAGACCUCUCCAAGGUCGUCUUCAUCUUCUUCUGAAGGUGCAGGGAUGCAGCCUUCCUGUGACCUCAGGGUGAUACCAGUCACUCUAGAAAAGAAAGAUCAAAGAAAUAGAUGAAAUCCUACCUUGUAUAUAA